rnacentral:rRNA from 1 species
GACGAACGCUGGCGGCGUGCCUAAUACAUGCAAGUUGAGCGAUGAAGCUUGGUGCUUGCACCAAUUUGAAGAGCAGCGAACGGGUGAGUAACGCGUGGGGAAUCUGCCUUUGAGCGGGGGGCAACAUUUGGAAACGAAUGCUAAUACCGCAUAACAACUUUAAACAUAAGUUUUAAGUUUGAAAGAUGCAAUUGCAUCACUCAAAGAUGAUCCCGCGUUGUAUUAGCUAGUUGGUGAGGUAAAGGCUCACCAAGGCGAUGAUACAUAGCCGACCUGAGAGGGUGAUCGGCCACAUUGGGACUGAGACACGGCCCAAACGCCUACGGGAGGCAGCAGGAGGGAAACUUCGGCAAAGGACGAAAGUCUGACCGAGCAACGCCGCGGGAGGGAAGAAGGUUUUCGGAUCGUAAAACUCUGUUGGUAGAGAAGAACGUUGGUGAGAGUGGAAAGCUCAUCAAGUGACGGUAACUACCCAGAAAGGGACGGCUAACUACGUG